UACGUAGGUGGCAAGCGUUGUCCGGAUUUAUUGGGUUUAAAGGGUGCGUAGGCGGCUUUGUAAGUCAGUGGUGAAAUAUGGCAGCUCAACUGUCAGGGUGCCAUUGAUACUGCGGAGCUUGAGUACAGAUGUGGUAGGCGGAAUUGACGGUGUAGCGGUGAAAUGCUUAGAUAUCGUCAAGAACACCGAUAGCGAAGGCAGCUUACUGGGCUGUAACUGACGCUGAGGCACGAAAGUGUGGGGAUCAAACAGG
rnacentral:rRNA from 1 species